CUACUACUCCCUCCGUCCCAUAUUAAGUGACAAAAUAUUACAUGUAUCUACAUUUUUUGGGUAUAGAUACAUCCAUAUUUGAGCAAAUUUGAGUCACGUAAUAUGGGACGGAGGGAGUAUUAA
rfam:Brachypodium distachyon strain Bd21 chromosome 3, whole genome shotgun sequence.